rnacentral:rRNA from 1 species
CUACGGGUCGCAGCAGUGAGGAAUAUUGCACAAUGGGGGAACCCUGAUGCAGCAACGCCGCGUGGAGGAUGACGCAUUUCGGUGUGUAAACUCCUUUUAUAUGUCAAGAAAAUGACGGUAGCAUAUGAAUAAGCACCGGCUAACUCCGUGCCAGCAGCCGCGGUAAUACGGAGGGUGCAAGCGUUACUCGGAAUCACUGGGCGUAAAGGACGCGUAGGCGGGUUGGAAAGUCAGGUGUGAAAUCCUACAGCUUAACUGUAGAACUGCACUUGAAACUUCUAAUCUAGAGUAUGGGAGGGGGAGAUGGAAUUAGUGGUGUAGGGGUAAAAUCCGUAGAUAUCACUAGGAAUACCUAAAGCGAAGGCGAUCUCCUGGAACAUUACUGACGCUAAGGCGUGAAAGCGUGGGGAGCAAACAGGACUAGAUACCCUAGUAGUC